AGUCAUCAAGUACUGCAGAAGCCUGUUAAUCACCCACAGAUUCAAUCCAGGUAUGUGGCAGAAGGGGAACAACUAAAACAUGAAGGGCAGGGGGGCCUGAGGACCGGAAUUGAGAAACACUGCAUUAGAAGCACACAAACAUCAA